UACGUAGGUGGCAAGCGUUGUCCGGAUUUACUGGGCGUAAAGGGCGUGCAGGCGGUUUGUUAAGUGCAGGGUGAAAGCUCCCGGCUCAACUGGGAGAGGUCCUUGCAUACUGGCGAACUCGAGUGAGGCAGAGGAAAGUGGAAUUCCCGGUGUAGUGGUGAUAUGCGUAGAUAUCGGGAGGAACACCUGUGGCGAAGGCGGCUUUCUGGGCCUUACCUGACUCUGAGACGCGAAA
rnacentral:rRNA from 1 species